CGGUUACUGCCACUACUACAAACAUGCUGAUCAUGGGGCAGACAUGCUGAUCAUGGGGCAAACAUGCUGAUCAUGGACCAUGAAGUGUGCCCACGUUUUAGGCAUGAUAACCCAUCGGUUGGGGCUUGUCAACCGAAAUGUAGCCUAUAAAUAGAUGCCUAUGUCAAGCCAAGAAAGGCAUGAGAAAGAGUAUUGUACUUAGCCUAUAGUAUUUGAGCAGGGGCCAAAUCUGUCUAAGUUGGCUU
rnacentral:lncRNA from 1 species